AUUGAACGCUGGCGGCAGGCCUAACACAUGCAAGUCGAGCGGAUGAAGGGAGCUUGCUCCUGGAUUCAGCGGCGGACGGGUGAGUAAUGCCUAGGAAUCUGCCUGGUAGUGGGGGAUAACGUCCGGAAACGGGCGCUAAUACCGCAUACGUCCUGAGGGAGAAAGUGGGGGAUCUUCGGACCUCACGCUAUCAGAUGAGCCUAGGUCGGAUUAGCUAGUUGGUGGGGUAAAGGCCUACCAGGGCGACGAUCCGUAACUGGUCUGAGAGGAUGAUCAGUCACACUGGAACUGAGACACGGUCCAGACUCCUACGGGAGGCAGCAGUGGGGAAUAUUGGACAAUGGGCGAAAGCCUGAUCCAGCCAUGCCGCGUGUGUGAAGAAGGUCUUCGGAUUGUAAAGCACUUUAAGUUGGGAGGAAGGGCAGUAAGUUAAUACCUUGCCGUUUUGACGUUACCAACAGAAUAAGCACCGGCUAACUUCGUG
rnacentral:rRNA from 1 species